AGAAUCAUAAUCCGUGCAGAUUCAGAUCCAGAUGCAAGUGCAUUUGAAAAACCGGAUACCCAGAUCCGAAUUAAUUUUUAACUAUAUUAUUAAUUUAAUAAAUAAAAAAUUGAAAAACAAAAAAACAACAGAUCCAGUAACCCUAAUUCUCUAAACCAUUCACGCCUCCCCUGUUCUCCCCCCCCCCCCCCCCCCCACCCCUCAAAGCGAUUGAAAUCGAAGGCCACCGGAAAUUGAACGCCGUCCGCCUCGCAAUCGCAGUCAUCGAACGCUGGAUGUCUCGCCUGAGUUGAGCAUGCGUUGCUGUCGUCGAAUGCCGACUGCCCUGCUUCGCCUUGCUCAGUGCACUUCGCCGUCAUCGAACGCCAACAACCCGCUGCAUCAAAAGCUGGCGACGCACACCAUACACGGCUGCCUGACUGCCUUGUCUAUUCUUUCUAUCUUUGGCCGCUGUUAAUACAAAGGGUGAGCACGCAAAUUUCUAGCAAGUCAAUUUCAGAUUCUCAGUGAACAAGGUGAGGCCUUUUUGGUGUCGUUUUGUGCUUUCAUGGAUUGCGUUUACAGAACUAUUCAAUCAAAUCAUUUGGUGGUGGUCCUGAUGGAGGUAUCCCUCUCGUAAUUGUCUAUCAUCAUCUUCCAUUAUUAUUAUUUUAGCAUUUAAAUUAAAUAUUGUCAUUAUCCAUAAAUGUAGUUUGUGAUCUUCCUUAACUUUAUGAAUUACUUUAAUUUCGGAUUUACUUCAAUUAUUUUAAUUAGGUUUUUGGUUUAAUUACUUAAAUUAAGUGCAUUAAUUUUAUUUGUGAAUUUUUAAUAGUGGUGUAAUUGAAUUUAUGUUUUUUUUUAUGUUUGAUUUAUGUUGUGGUAUUUUUAUUUGUAAAUUUAUGAUGUUAUAUCUUGUUCAUGUUGAUUAAUUGUUAGAUUAUAGUUGAUUUUUAUUUAAUAUUAUUAUUUAAAUAAUUAAAAUUUUAAAUUAUAUUUUAAAUUAUUUAAUUUUAUUUUUGCGCAUGCGGAUAUCUGAAAUAUCCGUCUGCAUCUAUGCGGAUAUUACACGCAUUCGGAUAUCUGUAUAAUUUUUUCCGGAUCCGGAUCCGAAUGUAAGUUUUUCCAACCCUACCUGAAUGUAAUCGAGCCAUAAUUCUUGAGCCCUAGUCUACCCAUAACUCUCAAAUUCAUAUUAAACAUCGAAAUUUUGAAUCAGGAUAGGCCUUUUUGCCAUCCCUACGGGUCAAAAUAUCAUUACCCGAUUUUAGUUUAGCUUUACUUUUUGCCUCAUUGUCCAUACCCCACAGCUUACUGGUUUUGCAAACCACCAAAGGGCCGUUGGGAAUUGCUGCUAACCAUCUGGGCUAUGCCCUGCGACAGCCCAGCUACAUUUCUACCCAGCCCAUCAUCCCAAAAGGGCCCUAAUUAGAUUAUCAACGCCUACUAAUUCCCUUGCUGGGACUUCCCUGCUGAAUUAGUGAGGCUGUCGCUAAUUAUACUUUUUCUGACGAGUUGAAAGUACUGUGUAAUGUUUGUAGGUAACUUAAUGGCAGCAUGAACUGCCACUACGAGUAUACAUGAAUAUUCAAAAAGUACUAGUUCAUGAAUUAUUUAGUUCGAGGUGAUGUGAGAGAAUGAAGACCUCCCGUCAUGUAUUAAUUUAUCUUUUUAAAAAUUGGUGUUUGUUAUGUGAAAAGAUAACUUAAGAGUUAACUCUAGUACCAUAUAGAAGUUUGUAUAGUAACUCAUACUCAAACUAACUUAAAAGUUAAGAGAUUCAUGUAUCUAAUUGGAAUAUUUAUCCAGUGAUUUAUUCUGAGCGGAUGUGAAUUAAUUUCCUAAUCAUUCACAACUAGAUUGUUCUCUAAUUAUUCAAUCAAUCAUUUGGAAAAACUGGAAUUGAUUAAUUAUUUAAUUAAUACUAGGUUGCGAUAUAGACUCCGCAUGUUAAUGGCAUCCAAUUAGGUUGAAUUAUAGACUCGCGCGUUAGUGGCAUGCAUCUAAAAACUAUUCAAUUUGUAAUUGACCAAACUUUAGUGAUUAACAAAGUGGCCACCACAUUAUAUAUAUCUGGCCGUUCACAGAUACAUAACAGCCGAUAUAUAAUAUCUUGUAAAUUGUAAUCAAUCCUGUAUGUGAAGAUACAACAAAAUGGGUACCAAUUUGUCCUUUUUUCCAUUCAUCUUGAUCGUGCCCAACGAUCAAGCAUCUCGUUAUCAAUCUUCUCAAGAUUUGUAUGAUUAUAAGUUGAAUUUAUAGUCGAGAAAGAUGUCUAGAAAUUCGCCUCCACCCCCCAUGCCUAGUGCUACUAUUUAUUACUUUAAACCUUCUCCUCCACCACCACCAAAUUAAAGCUUCCAUUGAUGCCACCACAAUAUAAUCAUCGUCUUAUCAGAGUACUAUGAAAACUGUACGGGAUAAGUGGCAAAAUCCGAUAAAUUGUAGAGCGAAAAUGUCAUUCGCCUUAUAUAGUUUAUGAUAGUGCGGGUUUGUCUUGCCGUUUAUAUGUAUCAUCUUUAUGAGAGACGUUGGAGAUCAAGAAAAUGUUGUGUUUAAUUUCCUUCUAUGAUUUUUGUCACUGCAGAUAACAUGGAACUAAAAAAAUAUAUCCUUUUCUUAUAUUAGUUGUACUCCUCAUUGAAUUAGUCAAAUCCCAAAUGGGAAGUUACUUAUUCUUUAAAUAGAAAUCCUUCUAAAUAAGAAAAUAUCUUAAGAAAUCCUUAUUGAAAAACAAGAUAUAUUUCCUAACACAUACAAAGUUGUUCAAGUCUUCAUUUGAAAAUAGGGACUCAAAUUUUCUCACUCAAUUAAAAAUAAUUGAGUUGUGGUAGUUCUCUCCUCACGAAAUAUGAGUGGGGCAUAUAUCUUUCGAAUAAUAGUGAGACUAUUUUAUAGAUUUAAUAUAGAAUGGUCCUAGUAGUUAUCUGAUUGUAAAUAUUAAUUAAAAAAAAAAAGAUGAAUCCUUUAAACUUUGUCUAAAGUAUUAGUCAAUAAGUAGGACUAAAUUUAUUUAUUUUUUCAUAAAUUUUGGCUAAGUUUCUCCUAAAUUUUGACAUUUUCCCAAGACAAGUGCUUAAUUUCAAAUUAGUUUUUAUUACUUUCUUUGCGGUUAUUUAAUAUUUUUCAUGAAAUUCUUGAAUCUUUAUUAGUCUUUUAUGUUUUGGAGCAGUUUUUGAGGAAAAGAAAUAAAAAGGAGUAGAAAAGUUACAAAUCAGUGUGAAGAAUAACUAGAUUGCGACAUCAUAAAUUUUGAUUGGUUUUUUUUUUUUUUUUUAAUACUGAUUAAUCAUCAGAUUACUGCAUUACACAGAUAUUUACAACAACUGCUAUUGUAGCAGAGAUAUUACACUGAUAUUUACAAUCAGAUAUACAUGAUUGGGACUUACAUUAUUACAUUGAAUUCUAUGAAGUAUAUGCUCAGACAAAUAACCCAUCACAGGAGAGAGAUGUCCAUACUCCACUUGCAUUUCGCAAGGGAGAAGAAUUUUUAAAUAUAAAGAACAUUUAGCCCCUACAAUGCUUUUGUGGGGGCUAGAACCGCUGCUCUCACAAUGCUUGUGAGGGCAACAGCCCACCACUUCGGCCAAGGCCGAAGUGGCAAUUUUGAUUGGUUUUUAGAUGGAUUUUGGGCUUUAUUUGCUAUAUUGGACUAUACUAACAUGCUUUAAGGUUGAUAAUUAGAUUUGGAUGAUAAAAACUGAUUCUUGAAAGACUUGUCAAAUUUUCUAUUUACGCCCACAUUAAGAAUGCAUUUUGAAGCUAUUCGACAAAUGGACCUAUUUUCUAGGUUUCAAAUCCUAUUGUUACUUUCUUUUGUUUUUGUUAGUUUUUUUUUUUAAUGGAUUUGAUAUUGAAUAAUUCAAACAUGUGUGAGUAAUCUUUUUAUUAGUUAAUUAGGAUCAAUUUCAAAAACCUAGAUAUGGAUCUUUAAUAAUAAAUUUUCAGCAUAAGAAUUUCUUCAAUUUUCUCUAGAAAAUUUUAUGUUUUGUUGAUUUUAAUGUUCAAGAAUCGGUACCUUAUAACUAAACCUAAGUGGCAGAUUAUAAUCAAGAUUAUGGAAAAUUUUCAUUUCACUGCAUGUGGAAAAUAAUUCAAGAUAAAUAAACUGAGCUUGUGCUUUCUUAAUUUAGCCUAUGCCUUGAUUUUAAUGCUUUAAUUAAAUUGAAUUUAAAGAGUUGAUUCUAGGUUUUUUCAUGGAAAGAGAUCAAGUAAAGAGCUUAUUUUACUUGAAGAUAAUUGAGCUUGUAAUUGUCUUGGGGCUAUUGUUUUUAAAAGAAAGUGAAUGAUGAUUCUAAUAAUUGAGAUAAAAUGCAUUGUUGAUGGUGGAGAAUGAUCCCUUGAACCACAUUUUUGCAUUAUAUAUAAACAUUUUUAAAAUUGUUUCUGAAAUUUUAGAUUUUCUACUUUGAAUUUAGUUUAAUUUACAUCGUAGAUCAACUCCAAAUCCCCAAAAUAAUUUUUGUGCAUGAUCAUUAGUGUGUCUGAGUAGAUCUAGAAAGUUUGAGUCAAUUUCGUUAAGUUUAGAUAUGAUUUUUAAUUCAAUAUUUAUUACUGGCCAUUUUGUGUGUUUUGUGUUAAUAAUUUGUUAAUUGGGAAUAAUUUUAUGUGGCAAUGACCCCUUGCAUAAUUUUCUAUGGGAAUGACCCUUACUUGCUUUUGUACUCAAUAACAAUAAUAUUUAAGGAAAUGUUUGAAGUGAUAUGCUUUUAAACGAAAUCUGAUUAGUGUUAAAAAUUGUAUGUUUGUUAAGGGGUAAAAAUAUUAUUUUGCGCUAUUAAUGUAAUUUAUAUUUGUAAUUGUGUAACAUAUUGUGAAUUUCUAAUUAUUUUUUUAAUAUUUGAUUUUGUGUAUUUUUUGUGUUUAUUAGGUAAAAAUAAUAAUUUCAUGCAAUUUGAGGCUUCAAAUAAAUGUACAAAUGUCAAAUUUAGAUUCUGGAAAUCUGAGAAAUUAUGUCAUUGUCGAGGAGGAUCUAAGAUUUUUAUUGUAAAUUUUUAAGUUUUUACCACGGUAAAUGUGGUAAUUGUAAAAUUAUAAGUUUUUAUCAUGUUAGGUAUGGUAAUUGUUAGUGGAAUGUGUUGGAUAUGCUUAAGUGGAUUAAGUUAGGUUUGUGUUUAUUAGUGAGACAAAUGUAAGACUAAGAUGUAAUUAGAUUUAUUUAUUUGUGUGGUGUGGAUAUACC
rnacentral:lncRNA from 1 species